GUUAACCUCACAUCGUUUCUUGUUGAAAUAUUGGCUGGGAAACGUACUGUAGUACAAUCCCCAGCGCUGCACUGCUGUGACGGUCUAGUUUCGGAAUGCAAAACAUAACGUAAUUAAGAAUCGAACGGCAGGACACCUGUGAAACACUGUUAGGAUACAUCAGUAUACUGGCACCUUAUCACCAAUCUCCGUUGCCUCCCAUUGUUUUCUAUGGGCGCACACUGCGCUUUAGGGCCUCCCAACAUGGCGGCCCGAAUGCACGCCUCUCCCUCGCGAGCCCCUCUCCCAUGCGCCAUCCAGCCUUUAUAGAUAGAGAUCAGUGAGUACGUGUUUUGAAAUGUCGUUGCGGUUGGUCGUCGGGCUCGUCGGGUCGCAGUUUCCGUCUUUCAACUCUUCAAAACGGGCAAAAACGUGAACAUUUGGAAUCUCUGUCGCCAGGCGCUGCAUUAUGUACAACUUCUUGUGUUACAACUUCUUGUGUUACAACUUGUGCACCAGCUCAAUCGGAAGAAACUACAAGCGAGGCAGGACUGCAAUUACGCUGGUAAGUAGUAGUGACUUGAUAUUUAUGUACAUUUAUUUCAAUGUGUGGUUCUACUCCCUGUUAUUACUAUUGUUUAAAAUAUCGUGCAAAAUAAGUGCAGGCUACCUGUUGGGUAAACUCCAUGACCUCCUGCUCGGCUUCUUUACCAUGGUUCCUAUUAUUUAUCUGAACUUCGUGUAGCCUGCUAGUGCAUGAACUGGCUUUGUUAUGAAUAGUCUUCUAGCUGGCAGUUUGUCAUACAAAUGGAGGAGACUUGCAGGAUGCUUAUGAAUCACACAGAACAAGGGCCAACGACUGAAGUGAGGUUUUCCCAAUUAAACUGAAUUCCCAGUUUACCACUUCAAUAUGCACCACGUUUAUGUAAUUUUGUCCUCGGAUGAGGCAAGAAUGGAUGCAGUCUCAUCUGCCACGAGGAGUGCUUCAGAAUCAGGAUUGCAGAUACUAAAGUAGCAACGUGGGUAGUUGGUGCUGACGGCUCAUCUCAAAGCAGAAACACAGGACUAGGACGACGUGUGAAAAAGCAAUGCGGAGAAAGAUCACUUGCGCCACUCUGAUGCACUGCCGAAUUUUAUGGCAAGUCGAGUCUUUUCUUUCCAGUUAUGCGGCUGUCAUAAUGAACGCCACUUUGGCAGUGCUUAAGUUUUUUCAGUAAGCAAAGCAUGUCGUCAGUUGUGACUUGGGUAGGUGAGCAUGCGAAUCUGACUAGUUCUAGCAGAGGGUAUUAUAGUUGUUGGCAUUUCAGUAUUGUGAACUCCUUGGCUCGGCCUCUACAUAUGCAGUGCUGUCCUGUGAGGCCCGAAACGUAGCCAGUACUCAACGUGUUCUUUGCGUGGAUCAUGGUCGUCGCAUAAGAGGAAGUAGAAUUUUGAAGUAGCCCGUGUGUAUGUUUAAUAUGAAUCAGGUUCAAACUUGGGCAGGUUGGUGUGACAUACUAAAAGCGUAUGUUUCAUGCCAGGGAAAUCCUGGGCGCUGAGGAGCGCGACGUUGCGGGCAACGAGCACGAGCUGUGCAAUGACUGUGCAACGAGCUUUAUGUGUGGUCUCAUCUUGCAUCUUACCCAAUAUGCCAUUAAGCGAAACAGACAACUUCGUGGCACUAUUAUGUUUGAAGUGGACACUGCGAUAAAAAGGCGGCUACGCCGCGGGAAGGAACGUGCAUCAAAAGAAUCAAGAGCCGAAGAUUCAUCUCGCCAUUAAAUCGAGAACCAGGGAACUGUGUGUGACAGUGCGACUAAGUCAAGUCAAGAGAGAAACAUUUUAAAGUGCAAUAUCAAGAAGUGCCGAAAAUGUGUUCCAACAUCAACCAGGUAAAUGGGUUUGACAGUGCGACUAAGUCAAGUCAAGAGUGAAAAAUUUUCUGCAAAUAAUCUGCAUCAAAAGAAUCGAGAGCUGAAGAUGUGUCUCAACAUUAAAUCAAGAGAACCAGGCAACUGUGUGUGACUAAGUCAAAUCAACAGUGAAACAUUUUUAUGUACAAUAUCAAGAGUGAAAGUGUUUUCG